rnacentral:rRNA from 1 species
GCUUAACACAUGCAAGUCGAACGAUGAUCCGGUGCUUGCACCGGGGAUUAGUGGCGAACGGGUGAGUAACACGUGAGUAACCUGCCCUUGACUCUGGGAUAAGCCUGGGAAACUGGGUCUAAUACCGGAUAUGACUCCUCAUCGCAUGGUGGGGGGUGGAAAGCUUUUGUGGUUUUGGAUGGACUCGCGGCCUAUCAGCUUGUUGGUGAGGUAAUGGCUCACCAAGGCGACGACGGGUAGCCGGCCUGAGAGGGUGACCGGCCACACUGGGACUGAGACACGGCCCAGACUCCUACGGGAGGCAGCAGUGGGGAAUAUUGCACAAUGGGCGAAAGCCUGAUGCAGCGACGCCGCGUGAGGGAUGACGGCCUUCGGGUUGUAAACCUCUUUCAGUAGGGAAGAAGCGAAAGUGACGGUACCUGCAGAAGAAGCGCCGGCUAACUACGUGCCAGCAGCCGCGGUAAUACGUAGGGCGCAAGCGUUAUCCGGAAUUAUUGGGCGUAAAGAGCUCGUAGGCGGUUUGUCGCGUCUGCCGUGAAAGUCCGGGGCUCAACUCCGGAUCUGCGGUGGGUACGGGCAGACUAGAGUGAUGUAGGGGAGACUGGAAUUCCUGGUGUAGCGGUGAAAUGCGCAGAUAUCAGGAGGAACACCGAUGGCGAAGGCAGGUCUCUGGGCAUUAACUGACGCUGAGGAGCGAAAGCAUGGGGA